rnacentral:rRNA from 1 species
UACGUUCCCGAGCCUUGUACACACCGCCCGUCACACCACGAAAGUCGGUAACACCCGAAGCCGGUGGCCCAACCCUUUUGGGAGGGAGCCGUCGAAGGUGGGAUCGGCGAUUGGGGUG